rnacentral:rRNA from 1 species
UACGUAGGGCGCAAGCGUUGUCCGGAAUUAUUGGGCGGAAAGAGCUCGUAGGCGGCUUGUCACGUCGGAUGUGAAAGCCCGGGGCUUAACUCCGGGUCUGCAUUCGAUACGGGCUAGCUAGAGUGUGGUAGGGGAGAUCGGAAUUCCUGGUGUAGCGGUGAAAUGCGCAGAUAUCAGGAGGAACACCGGUGGCGAAGGCGGAUCUCUGGGCCAUUACUGACGCUGAGGAGCGAAAGCGUGGGGAGCGAACAGG